AGCCUGAAAUGGCGCAUGUCCCCGCGGGUCAGCUGGCCUGGAGAAAACAACACGCCCUCAACGUGACAGUCCCCACAUUCUGCAGACUUAAAAGGGAAAUCCUUUGGAUUCUGCCUGGACUCCUGGGGCUCCGCCCUGGCCUUGCCCUGGGGCUGCAAAGGGGAAUAAAAUAUGGGAAGGAUUGUGUGUAGCUGCGAUGGAUUCUUCAACUGAUCAGAGGUGGUUUCCUGCCUGCGAGGAGAUGCAGAGGAAGGCCAGCAGAGGGCAAAGAGCCCGAGAGCCGGGAUCAGGAGACAGGAACGUGUUGGCGUGUGGCUAUGGGCAAACCAUAGAGACUGUCUCUGGUCAUCCAUGUUCCCCACUGUUGGUGAGGCUGGGUCACCCAGGCCAGAACUCCAGUGCCAUGGGGUGUGCCAGUGUUGGUGCUGUGGUGGAUGCAAAGAAUGGGACUCUGCCCUGGCUUGUGCACACCUACGGAGUAACAAAAUCUUCAUGUCUCUCUCUAAUACAUGCACACAUAUUCAGGUAGCUAGGUAGACAGAGAGAUAGAUAGAUAUGUAGCUAGAUUAGAUAGAUGAUGGAUGGAUAGAUAGAUAGAUGAUAGAUAGAUAGAUAGAUAGAUAGGUAGAUAGAUAGAUGAUAGAUAGAUAGAUAGAUAGAUAGAUAGAUAGAUAAUAGAAAAAAUGUGUCAGAAUAAAAACAAUCCUAUAGGCCAAUAAGGACUCAGUCAAAAUCUUACAGGGUCACUGAAUCAGAAUCAUUCUUCCCCUUAACUUACUUUCAUGACUCUCUGCAAUCAGGUGUAUCUGUCCACCCCGUUUUUUUCACAAUUGAGUGAAAUGAGGAAGUAGUGUAAGGCUGGUUUUUCUUUUGCUGCCACAAAGGUCUACAUAGCUGCUGGUUCCUGUUCACAGUGAAAAUGGUCCUAACCAGAUGAAUGAGGGACACAAGAGACAUAACACAAAUCAGAGAAGUUAAAACCAAGCUUAUUCCUAAAUGCAGCUAAACCUAAGCAGAGCUCAUGCCUGCCUGCUGAAGCCCCAAGUCUUCUACGUUGAUAAAGGGUGCUCCCUCCAUUUUCUCUGCUCCUGCCUCCCCCAUCUUUUUUCAAACACCGUGGCUGAUUUAUCUAAGCCCUAUGCUGCCUCGCAGUAUUUUGAAAACAAAUUAGAAAGCUCCUUCCAGUUUUCCAGAGGUGAUUAAAUCCAAGAAGCCUUAGGAAUGUAGAGGAUAGAAUAAUAUAAACAAC
rnacentral:lncRNA from 1 species